ACGGGAGAUUUUGGGAGAUGGG
rnacentral:miRNA from 1 species